rnacentral:rRNA from 1 species
UACGUAGGGUCCGAGCGUUGUCCGGAAUUAUUGGGCGUAAAGGGCUCGUAGGCGGUUCGUCACGUCGGGAGUGAAAACUCGGAGCUUAACUCCGGGCCUGCUUCCGAUACGGGCAGACUAGAGGUAGGCAGGGGAGAGCGGAACUCCAGGUGUAGCGGUGAAAUGCGUAGAUAUCUGGAGGAACACCGGUGGCGAAGGCGGCAUCCUGGACCGAUACUGACGCUGAGGAGCGAAAGCCAGGGGAGCAAACGGG